UACAGAGGCCUCGAGCGUUGUUCGGAAUUACUGGGCGUAAAGCGCAUGUAGGUGGUGACGUAAGUCCGAUGUGAAACCCCCGGGCUUAACCCGGGAACUGCAUUUGAUACUGUGUCGCUGGAGUAUGAGAGAGGAAAGGGGAAUUCCCAGUGUAGGAGUGAAAUCCGUAGAUAUUGGGAGGAAUACCGAUGGCGAAGGCACCUUUCUGGCUCAUUACUGACACUGAGAUUCGAAAGCGUGGGGAGCAAACAGG
rnacentral:rRNA from 1 species